UCGAUCUCACUUAUCUGACUAAUUUGAUGAAUUAAAUUUUGAUCGGAUCGCUAAGUAAUUUGAGUUAGCCCAUGCCAUUAAGGUUGAUCAGUGUGACUAAUCUAGGUGUCAGUUUAAUGAGCAUGAUCUAACCCGAUUCAGUGACUUGGUGAAGUCAGUGGAAAAAUUAUGGUCUACUGAUUGAUCUUUUCUUCUCUCUUCUCUAAAUUG
rnacentral:lncRNA from 1 species